rnacentral:rRNA from 1 species
GAGUAGUGGCCGCGUGCUUACCAUGCAGUCGAACGGUGAAGCCAAGCUUGCUUGGUGGAUCAGUGGCGAACGGGUGAGAAACACGUGAGCAACCUGCCCUGGACUCUGGGAUAAGCGCUGGAAACGGCGUCUAAUACUGGAUAUGAGACGUGAUCGCAUGGUCGUGUUUGGAAAGAUUUUUCGGUCUGGGAUGGGCUCGCGGCCUAUCAGCUUGUUGGUGAGGUAAUGGCUCACCAAGGCGUCGACGGGUAGCCGGCCUGAGAGGGUGACCGGCCACACUGGGACUGAGACACGGCCCAGACUCCUACGGGAGGCAGCAGUGGGGAAUAUUGCACAAUGGGCGGAAGCCUGAUGCAGCAACGCCGCGUGAGGGAUGACGGCCUUCGGGUUGUAAACCUCUUUUAGCAGGGAAGAAGCGAAAGUGACGGUACCUGCAGAAAAAGCGCCGGCUAACUACGUGCCAGCAGCCGCGGUAAUACGUAGGGCGCAAGCGUUAUCCGGAAUUAUUGGGCGUAAAGAGCUCGUAGGCGGUUUGUCGCGUCUGCUGUGAAAUCCCGAGGCUCAACCUCGGGCCUGCAGUGGGUACGGGCAGACUAGAGUGCGGUAGGGGAGAUUGGAAUUCCUGGUGUAGCGGUGGAAUGCGCAGAUAUCAGGAGGAACACCGAUGGCGAAGGCAGAUCUCUGGGCCGUAACUGACGCUGAGGAGCGAAAGGGUGGGGAGCAAACAGGCUUAGAUACCCUGGUAGUCCACCCCGUAAACGUUGGGAACUAGUUGUGGGGACCAUUCCACGGUUUCCGUGACGCAGCUAACGCAUUAAGUUCCCCGCCUGGGGAGUACGGCCGCAAGGCUAAAACUCAAAGGAAUUGACGGGGACCCGCACAAGCGGCGGAGCAUGCGGAUUAAUUCGAUGCAACGCGAAGAACCUUACCAAGGCUUGACAUAUACUAGAACGGGCCAGAAAUGGUCAACUCUUUGGACACUCGUAAACAGGUGGUGCAUGGUUGUCGUCAGCUCGUGUCGUGAGAUGUUGGGUUAGUUCCCGCAACGAGCGCAACCCUCGGUC